ACUAGCUAUGUACAAAUACACUAAUGCAUUUUUUACAGUUACAACCCCCAAGGAAAAUCUCCUUAGGUCUAAAGCUUUAGUUGUUAUUCUGAUUCAUACCAGAAUUUAAACAAUUCACAUUUUCUAUGUACAUAGAGUUCUUGAGAUAAUUUUUUCCAUAUUUGUCCAAGCAGUUUGCCAUGUUCAAUGUCCUUAUCACAAAAAUCUAAAGUUUUAACCUUGAACCCAAAAAAUCUAGCAUCA
rnacentral:misc_RNA from 1 species